AACGAACGCUGGCGGCAUGCCUAACACAUGCAAGUCGAACGAACCCUCCGGGGUUUUGUGCGCACGGCUGCGGAACGCGGGGGAAGCUGCCCGUGACUUCGGAAUAACUCAGGUAAGCUUGUGCUAAGAACGGAGGAUCUCUUCGCACCAAGGAUCUAUCGGCAAGGGAUGAGCCCGCGUAGGAUUAGGUGGUUGGUGGGGUAAAGGCCUACCAAGCCGACGAUCCUUAGCUGGUCUGAGAGGAUGCUAAGCCACGCUGGGACUGAGACACGGCCCAGAAUCGUACGGGAGGGAGCAGUGGGGAAUAUUAGACACUGGGCGCAAGCCUGAUAACGCAAUGCCGGGUGAGUGAUGAAGGCGCUCGGGUCGUACAGCUGUUUUACACGGGAUGAUAAUGACAGUACCUGGAGAAUAAGCACCGGCUAACUACGUG
rnacentral:rRNA from 1 species